ensembl:lncRNA CCDC18-AS1 CCDC18 antisense RNA 1
GUGGCUGCCGCCCUUCCCCCACCCACGCCGGCGGGAGCCGCCCGUUCGCGCUGCCAGCAGCUUCCGCCUGCUACGGUCCUGGCAAGCACCUCGGGAUCCCAUUCCUUCACAGGGACCCUAGCCAGUUAAAGCUGAUACAUUCCUGUGGGUCAACUAUGCAACUAACUCAGAUUUUGAGCAAACAAAGCUCUCAAGUUGGUGAUCCUCAGGAGUCUCUGCAUUAGUUGGACAGCUCUUCUGGAAUUAUCUUCUAAGUCAACUGUGGGUUGGGUAGGUGGCUCUGCUGAUUUUUCGCUGGACUUCCACAUUUGGGACGAGUUGGCUGUCAUCAGCUCUAGAAAGGGUGUGGCCGUUUUACAUUGGCUGUUUUCCUCACAUUCCUCAAGCAGGUACUGUAAUAAAGAACUGGAGAAAUACAGUCAGAUGGGAAGUAGCCCUUGCUGUCAAGGAGCUUGCCAUCUAAUGGGGGAGACAGGCAAGUAAACCAAAGACUACACAGUGCAGUAUGGUAAGUGCCAUGAUUUUGAUGUGACAGGGCACAGUGGACGACCUUCCAAAUCAAAGCAAGUAACUAGGGGUUGACAAUGGUAAGUAUCAUAGUUGAAGUAUCCUUGAACAAGGUUUCAGGAAGAAGAAGAAGGGAAUUUCAUGCAGGGAAACAGCCAAAGCUCAGUGAGUCAAAAUAUCACAGCAUUCUUGGUAAGCCCAAUUGUUUUUUCUGUUUUGCUAUUUUGGUGGAGAGAAAGGAACACAUAAAGGAAUAACAUGAGAGAAGGCUAUUUGGGGAAGUGUAGUAGUUAAGGUUCUGGCUCAAACAACAACUGCAGCUCAUAAAGUUGACUUUAGUGGAAGGAUACUGGGGUAUCUCAUGGAAUCUUGGGAACUGUUGAAUAACCAGGGAAACUCUGGGAAACUCACUGGUAGGAAUCCAUAAACUGUCCUCCUGGUGGGCUGUAAACAACUCACCCUCUAUGCAUCUCACAUCAAAAUUCCAGUUUCUUGGGAAAACAAGUCUGUUUGCCCAAUUUGGGUCAUAUUUCCACGUCCAUGUUACUCAGGCAUGAUUCAUCUGCAAGUUAUGUGUAUAGAUAUUUUGCUACUGUUCCACCCUUACGCUGUGCUGGGGAGGGAGGUGUCACUGUGAGCUGUGUCGGUGCCUUAAGAGAUAUCUGUUGUGUCUUAUUACUUGGUUGCUUUUCCCCACAUGUACAAUGACAAAAAUGCCUUCAACCUAUUUGAUCCAGCCGUUCCAGUACAACUCCUAUACUUGCCAUCUUUCCAAGCCCAAAGGUACAUCCAGCUGAUGGAAGGAGCAUCUUGGUGUUAAUAUUCUUUUAGUCAUGGUCUCUGAAAGUAAAAUGUCUAUUCUUCUAAUUCUGGCACAAUCUUAUCUAGCUAUAGUUCCUCAUGGUCCUGCACUCCAUGGACUAAAUUAUGAUGAAACUGAAACACAAAAAAUUUAGAUUAACUCUUAGGUGACAAAGCCAGGAUUGAAGCUCAUGCGGUCUGGCUCCAGAACAACUCUUCUUCAUAGUUACGUUAUACUGCCCCUGCAUUGUUGGUAUUGAAAAUAACUGAUACCGUGCUUCCAGAAGAUUUUUCUAACAGUGUUUGCAAGCUAUAAAAUAGUGCUUUCACUUAGAAAAGGCUAGACGUGGUGGUUCAUGCCUGUAAUCCCAGCACUUUGAGAGGCCGAGGCACCAUGCUGGGAGAUAAGGAUCCAACAUAAGACAAACAGUGCUGAUGCUUUUGGAAAGCUCAUAUUCAAGCUGGGGAGACAAACAACAUACAAGUGGCUGUAGCUACCUUCUGCAUAUGGAUAUCCAGUUUUCCCAGCACCACUUAUUAAAGAGACUGUCUUUUCUGCAGUGUAUAUUCUUGGCACCGUUGUUGAAAAUGAAUUCAUUGUAGGAGGGCUCUGAGAGAUUUCAUUUCUGUCCUGCUGAUGAAGUCUACGUUCAUUCAGGGCCUGCUGUGGAAGACCAGCCCCAAAGUUGCUGAACAGAAGACUUUUGAGAGUCAGCAGAAAUCUUCCACUUUGCAUGGUUCUCUUGAUGUGAAA